GCAGAAUGGCAGUGUGGAAAGGGUGGAGGCUCUGCAGGCAGACACAGAACACAGAUCUAUGGGCCCCAAGAGAAAAAGCAGCUGGGAAAAAGGCUCAGAAUCAGUGAUUUCCCCAAGAUCACACAGCACAAGACCGAAGUCUGGGCCAGCCAGCCUUAAAACCUGUGCGCCAGACUGCUCUCACCUGUUCCCGAAUGCUAACAGUGGACACGUCUGAGUGAUGAACCAGAGGGAAAUCUCCACGUUGUACAGCACUGCAGAGCUGCGGACUGGGAGGCACCCGGGGACGGGACCUCAUGCCCUGUGAAGGACACACAGGCAAAGCCUCGAGGGGCCGCCGGUGGGGCCUGGGGGACGUACUCACCCUUCCCGAUCUGGACGAAGCCCAGUAGGAUGAUCAGGGCCAGAGCCAGGAGCUUGGCGGCGGCAAAGGCAUCCUGGACCCGGGUGGCGGCCUUCACGCUGUAGCAGUUCACGGCCGUGAGCAGCACUGUGGAGACAGAGGGCAGUGUUCUUUCAGGUCUAAGGGCUGGAUCCCAGGUGCCCCUUAAGAUCUGCAAGGGACCUUUCCUCACCCCCCACCACACCAGGCCACGGAGUCCCACCUGUAUUCAGGACUUCAAGUGGGGUCACUGCCUCCAGAGACCCAGGAGCUUGAAAUCUGCCAGUGGGAACGUCUACACCCCAGAAGUGGGCAAAGGCCCAGCACGGGCCACCCACACAGCUCGGAUCUCACAGCCCUCCUGGCACCACACUACUAAGACUGCAGGAAGGUGAGAGCAUCGGAAAGGCCGUAGGCUCCUCUUCUCUCUUUCCCCAUGGGAGUAACGCUCAGAAAGGUCUGGCCAGCCAAGGCCUUGAGGACUCCAGUGGCUUUUCCCCAGCUGAACAAAUCCUAUGGAAUUUUACAAUGUAAGCAACAGACCCCGAGGAAAGACAUCCAUGCUAAUUAACUGAUGACACCGAAACGUCCUGAGGUGCGGGACGGGCUGCCGCCUGCCUACCUCUCAGAAAUUAACCACCCCGCUACAAUUCUGUGAAUGCCAGAGCGGAGACGGCUACUACACACCAGGAAAGUCUGGUUGAAAAAUGUCUGAAAGUCAGUGUUUUCGCUGCUAUUCCUAAAAUAAAAUACUUGAAAUUCCGGAA